UACAGAAGUCUCAAGCGUUGUUCGGAUUCAUUGGGCGUAAAGGGUGCGUAGGUGGCGAGGUUAGUCAGGUGUGAAAUCUCGGGGCUCAACCCCGAAACUGCACUUGAUACUGCCUUGCUAGAGUACUGGAGAGGAGAUUGGAAUUUACGGUGUAGCAGUGAAAUGCGUAGAUAUCGUAAGGAAGACCAGUGGCGAAGGCGAAUCUCUGGACAGUUACUGACACUGAGGCACGAAGGCCAGGGGAGCAAACGGG
rnacentral:rRNA from 1 species